rnacentral:tRNA from 1 species
ACCUGACUGGCUUAGUCAGUAGAGCAUGUGACUGUUGGUCUCAGGGUUGUGGGUUCAAGACCUACUCUGGGUA